GAUGAACGCUGGCGGCGUGCCUAAUACAUGCAAGUCGAGCGAACAGACGAGGAGCUUGCUCCUCUGACGUUAGCGGCGGAAGGGUGAGUAAAACGUGGAUAACCUACCUAUAAGACUGGGAUAACUUCGGGAAACCGGAGCUAAUACCGGAUAAUAUAUUGAACCGCAUGGUUCAAUAGUGAAAGACGGUUUUGCUGUCACUUAUAGAUGGAUCCGCGCCGCAUUAGCUAGUUGGUAAGGUAACGGCUUACCAAGGCAACGAUGCGUAGCCGACCGGCGAGGGGGAUCGGCCACACUGGAACUGAAACACGGUCCAGACUCCUACGGGAGGCAGCAGUAGGGAAUCUUCCGCAAUGGGCGAAAGCUUGACGGAGCAACGCCGCGUGAGUGAUGAAGGUCUUCGGAUCGUAAAACUCUGUUAUUAGGAAAGAACAAAUGUGUAAGUAACUAUGCACGUCUUGACGGUACCUAAUCAGAAAGCCACGGCUAACUACGUG
rnacentral:rRNA from 1 species